rnacentral:rRNA from 1 species
AUUGAACGCUGGCGGCAGGCCUAACACAUGCAAGUCGAGCGAGCGGCGGACGGGUGAGUAAUGUCUGGGAAACUGCCUGAUGGAGGGGGAUAACCACUGGAAACGGUAGCUAAUACCGCAUACUAUUAGAUGUGCCCAGAUGGGUUUGGCUAGUAGGUGGGGUAACGGCUCACCUAGGCGACGAUCCCUAGCGGGUUUGAGGGGAUGACCAGCCACACGGGAACUGGACCACGGUCCAGACUCCUACGGGAGGCAGCAGUGGGGAAUAUUGCACAAUGGGCGCAAGCCUGAUGCAGCCAUGCCGCGUGUGUGAAGAAGGCCUUCGGGUUGUAAAGCACUUUCAGCGGGGAGGCGUUACCCGCAGAAGAAGCACCGGCUAACUCCGUGCCAGCAGCCGCGGUAAUUC